UACGUAGGGCGCAAGCGUUGUCCGGAAUUAUUGGGCGUAAAGAGCUCGUAGGCGGCUUGUCACGUCGGAUGUGAAAGCCCGGGGCUUAACUCCGGGUCUGCAUUCGAUACGGGCUGGCUAGAGUGUGGUAGGGGAGAUCGGAAUUCCUGGUGUAGCGGUGAAAUGCGCAGAUAUCAGGAGGAACACCGGUGGCGAAGGCAGAUCUCUGGGCCGUAACUGACGCUGAGGAGCGAAAGCAUGGGGAGCGAACAGG
rnacentral:rRNA from 1 species